rnacentral:rRNA from 1 species
GAGCACGUAGGUGGGUUUGUAAGUCAGAUGCGAAAGCCUUCUGUUCAACGGAAGAAUUGCAUCUGAAACUGCGAGCCUUGAGUAUAGGAGGGGAGAAUGGAACUUCUGGUGGAGCGGUGAAAUGCGUAGAUAUCAGAAGGAACGCCGGCGGCGAAAAGCGAUUCUCUGGCCUAUUACUGACACUCAGUGUGCGAAAGCUAGGGGAGCAAACGGGAUUAGAUACCCCGGUAGUCCUAGCCGUAAGCAAUGGGCACUAAGUAGAGGGGUUUU